rnacentral:siRNA from 1 species
GAUGUGCAGAUGCGUUUGAUG